UACGAAGGGGGCUAGCGUUGCUCGGAAUCACUGGGCGUAAAGCGCACGUAGGCGGCUUGUUAAGUCGGGGGUGAAAUCCUGGAGCUCAACUCCAGAACUGCCCUCGAUACUGAUGAGCUCGAGUCCGAGAGAGGUGAGUGGAAUUCCCAGUGUAGAGGUGAAAUUCGUAGAUAUUGGGAAGAACACCGGUGGCGAAGGCGGCUCACUGGCUCAUUACUGACGCUCAGGCGCGAUAGCGUGGGGAUCAAACAGG
rnacentral:rRNA from 1 species